UGACCAUGUCACUUUGAAAAGUCGUUUCCCGUAAGGAUCACCGAAGUUAAGCAACGUCGAGUCUUCUCAGUAUAUAGGUGGGUGACCGCUUGUGAAUACCUGGUGAUGUAAG